rnacentral:rRNA from 1 species
AACGAACGCUGGCGGCGUGGAUAAGACAUGCAAGUCGAACGGGACUAAAUCUGUAGCAAUACAGGUUUAGUUUAGUGGCGAACGGGUGCGUAACACGUGGGCAAUCUGCCGAGAAGUGGGGGAUAGCUCGCCGAAAGGCGAAUUAAUACCGCAUAUGAUCAGCUAAGACAUCUUAGCGACAUCAAAGCCGGGGCAACCUGGCGCUUUUUGAGGAGCCCGCGGCCUANCAGCUAGUUGGUGAGGUAACGGCUCACCAAGGCUAUGACGGGUAGCUGGUCUGAGAGGGACGACCAGUCACACUGGAACUGAGGACACGGUCCAGACACCUACGGGUGGCAGCAGUCGAGAAUUUUUAGACAAUGGGGAAACCCUGAUCGAGCGACGCCGCGUGGAGGAUGAAGGUCUUCGGGUUGUAAACUCCUGUCAUUUGAGAACAAGGUGCACCGGUUAACUGCCGGUGCAUUGAUAGUAUCAGAAGAGGAAGAGACGGCUAACU